UCAGAAAAUAUCCAAACCCAGCACACUC
rnacentral:piRNA from 1 species